GACGAACGCUGGCGGCGUGCCUAAUACAUGCAAGUCGAACGCAGUGGGGACGGGUGAGUAACACGUGGGGAACCUCCCAUCAGAGGGGAUAACACUUGGAAACAGGUGCUAAACCGAGACUGAUGGCGGGACCCGCGGGGCAUUAGCUAGUUGGUGAGGUAACGGCUCACCAAGGCCACGAUGCAUAGCCGACCUGAGAGGGUGCUCUGCCCCACUGGGACUGAGACACGGCCGAGUCUCCUACGGGAGGCAGCCGUAGGGAAUCUUCGGCAAUGGACGAAAGUCUGCCCGAGCAACGCCGCGUGAGUGAAGAAGGUUUUCGGAUCGUAAAACUCUGUUGUUAGAGAAGCGGUAUCUAACCAGAAAGCCACGGCUAACUCCGUGCCAGCAGCCGCGGUAAUUC
rnacentral:rRNA from 1 species